CAAGUCGAACGAGAGAGAAGGAGCUUGCUUCUUCGAUCGAGUGGCGAACGGGUGAGUAACGCGUGAGGAACCUGCCUCAAAGAGGGGGACAACAGUUGGAAACGACUGCUAAUACCGCAUAAGCCCACGGGUCGGCAUCGAUCUGAGGGAAAAGGAGCAAUCCGCUUUGAGAUGGCCUCGCGUCCGAUUAGCUAGUUGGUGAGGUAACGGCCCACCAAGGCGACGAUCGGUAGCCGGACUGAGAGGUUGAACGGCCACAUUGGGACUGAGACACGGCCCAGACUCCUACGGGAGGCAGCAGUGGGGAAUAUUGCACAAUGGGGGAAACCCUGAUGCAGCGACGCCGCGUGGAGGAAGAAGGUCUUCGGAUUGUAAACUCCUGUUGUUGAGGAAGAUAAUGACGGUACUCAACAAGGAAGUGACGGCUAACUACGUGCCAGCAGCCGCGGUAAAACGUAGGUCACAAGCGUUGUCCGGAAUUACUGGGUG
rnacentral:rRNA from 1 species